rnacentral:lncRNA from 1 species
CCAAGCAAGUUUUUGCCUAGAAAGAUAGAAUGUAACAUCGCGGGAUUUGAGGGAGGUCCUGCUGGAGAGAAAGUUGCCGGAAGCCACAGUAAGAACCACAGGAAAGGAACAGUUUCCGGAGCCCAGCAAUGAGCUGUUUUACUAUUCAGGUCCUUCCAAACACGGCCUCACCUGCUCCAGACUGGUUUCCCACUCCCCUGAGCCCCUUGCACCCUGUGCCUUGGGUCCUGCG